rnacentral:rRNA from 1 species
CGGUGUUCAACUGGCGUGUCCGCGGGACGUCCUGCCGGUGGGCUUAGCCCGCAAGGGCGGCCCAACUUCAAAUCCCAUCGCGGUGCUCUUCACUGAGUGUCGAGGUGGGCCGGCACGUUUACUUUGAACAAAUUAGAGUGCUUAAAGCAGGCUAAAACUUCGCCUGAAUACUGUGUGCAUGGAAUAAUGGAAUAGGACCUCGGUUCUAUUUUGUUGGUUUUCGGAACCCCGAGGUAAUGAUUAAUAGGAACGGAUGGGGGCAUUCAUAUUGCGACGUUAGAGGUGAAAUUCUUGGAUCGUCGCAAGACGGACAGAAGCGAAAGCAUUUGCCAAAAACGCUUUCAUUGAUCAAGAACGAAAGUUAGAGGUUCGAAGGCGAUCAGAUACCGCCCUAGUUCUAACCAUAAACGAUGCCAGCUAGCGAUCCGUCGACGUUCCUCCGAUGACUCGACGGGCAGCUUCCGGGAAACCAAAGCUUUUGGGUUCCGGGGGAAGUAUGGUUGCAAAGCUGAAACUUAAAGGAAUUGACGGAAGGGCACCACCAGGAGUGGAGCCUGCGGCUUAAUUUGACUCAACACGGGAAACCUCACCAGGCCCGGACACCGGAAGGAUUGACAGAUUGAGAGCUCUUUCUUGAUUCGGUGGGUGGUGGUGCAUGGCCGUUCUUAGUUGGUGGAGCGAUUUGUCUGGUUAAUUCCGAUAACGAACGAGACUCUAGCCUGCUAACUAGGCGUAUUUUCGACAUCUCAAAGGUCCGUCGUCCCGGCCCUCGGGUCGUGGGCGUGCGCGAUUUUUACUGUCGGCGUACUAUCAAUUCUUCUUAGAGGGACAGGUGGCUUCUAGCCGCACGAGAUUGAGCAAUAACAGGUCUGUGAUG